CCCGCUGAACUUAAGCAUAUCAAUAAGCGGAGGAAAAGAAACUAACAAGGAUUCCCCUAGUAACUGCGAGUGAAGCGGGAAGAGCUCAAAUUUGAAAUCUGGCGGUCCCUUGGGCUGUCCGAGUUGUAAUCUAGAGAAGUGUUACCUGUGCUGGACCGUGUACAAGUCUCCUGGAAUGGAGCAUCACAGAGGGUGAGAAUCCCGUCUUUGACACGGACUGCCUGUGCGAUAUGGUGCGCUCUCGAAGAGUCGAGUUGUUUGGGAAUGCAGCUCAAAAUGGGUGGUAAAUGCCAUCUAAAGCUAAAUACUGGCGAGAGACCGAUAGCGAACAAGUACCGUGAGGGAAAGAUGAAAAGAACUUUGGAAAGAGAGUUAAACAGUACGUGAAAUUGCUGAAAGGGAAACGCUUGAAGUCAGUCGCGUCGGCUGGAAAUCAGUCUUGCUUCUGCUUGACGUACUUUCUGGUUCGACGGGUCAGCAUCAGUUUUGACCGCCGGAUAAAGUCGUUGGGAAUGUGGCAUCUUCAUGAUGUGUUAUAGCCCGUCGUCGCAUACGGUGGUCAGGAUUGAGGAACUCAGCACGCCGCGAGGCCGGGUCGUUUCUGCGAUCACGUUCGUGCUUAGGAUGCUGGCAUAAUGGCUUUAAUCGACCCGUCUUGAAACACGG
rnacentral:rRNA from 1 species